rnacentral:rRNA from 1 species
UGAGGAAUAUUGCGCAAUGGAGGAAACUCUGACGCAGCAACGCCGCGUGCGGGAUGAAGGCCCUUUGGGUCGUAAACCGCUGUAGCAGGGAAAAAAUAUCCCGUUUGACGGGAUUGAUGGUACCCUGAAAGUAAGCCUCGGCUAACUACGUGCCAGCAGCCGCGGUAAUACGUAGGAGGCAAGCGUUGUCCGGAUUUACUGGGUGUAAAGGGUCCGCAGGCGGGCGAUUAAGUCGGUGGUGAAAUCCUGCAGCUUAACUGUAGAACUGCCUCCGAUACUGAUCGUCUUGAAUACGGGAGAGGGUGACGGAAUUCCAGGUGUAGCGGUGAAAUGCUUAGAUAUCUGGAAGAACACCGGUCGCGAAGGCUGUUACCUGGCCCGUUAUUGACGCUCAGGGACGAAAGCGUGGGGAGCAAACAGG